UAAUGUAUCGGAACGUGCCCAGUAGCGGGGGAUAACUACGCGAAAGCGUAGCUAAUACCGCAUACGCCCUACGGGGGAAAGCAGGGGAUCGCAAGACCUUGCACUAUUGGAGCGGCCGAUAUCGGAUUAGCUAGUUGGUGGGGUAACGGCUCACCAAGGCGACGAUCCGUAGCUGGUUUGAGAGGACGACCAGCCACACUGGGACUGAGACACGGCCCAGACUCCUACGGGAGGCAGCAGUGGGGRAUAUUGGACAAUGGGGGAAACCCUGAUCCAGCCAUCCCGCGUGUGCGGAUGAAGGCCUUCGGGUUGUAAAGCACUUUUGGCAGGAAAGAAACGUCGCGGGUUAAUACCCCGCGGAACUGACGGUACCUGCAGAAUAAGCACCGGCUAACUACGUGCCAGCAGCCGCGGUAAUACGUAGGGUGCAAGCGUUAAUCGGAAUUACUGGGCGUAAAGCGUGCGCAGGCGGUUCGGAAAGAAAGAUGUGAAAUCCCAGAGCUUAACUUUGGAACUGCAUUUUUAACUACCGGGCUAGAGUGUGUCAGAGGGAGGUGGAAUUCCGCGUGUAGCAGUGAAAUGCGUAGAUAUGCGGAGGAACACCGAUGGCGAAGGCAGCCUCCUGGGAUAACACUGACGCUCAUGCACGAAAGCGUGGGGAGCAAACAGGAUUAGAUACCCUGGUAGUCCACGCCCUAAACGAUGUCAACUAGCUGUUGGGGCCUUCGGGCCUUGGUAGCGCAGCUAACGCGUGAAGUUGACCGCCUGGGGAAUGCGGUCGCAAAGAUUAAAACUCAAAGGAAUUGACGGGGACCCGCACAAGCGGUGGAUGAUGUGGAUUAAUUCGAUGCAACGCGAAAAACCUUACCUACCCUUGACAUGUCUGGAAUCCCGAAGAGAUUUGGGAGUGCUCGCAAGAGAACCGGAACACAGGUGCUGCAUGGCUGUCGUCAGCUCGUGUCGUGAGAUUUGGGAGUGCUCGCAAGAGAACCGGAACACAGGUGCUGCAUGGCGGUCGUCAGCUCGGUCGUGAGAUGUUGGGUUAAGUCCCGCAACGAGCGCAACCCUUGUCAUUAGUUGCUACGAAAGGGCACUCUAAUGAGACUGCCGGUGACAAACCGGAGGAAGGUGGGGAUGACGUCAAGUCCUCAUGGCCCUUAUGGGUAGGGCUUCACACGUCAUACAAUGGUCGGGACAGAGGGUCGCCAACCCGCGAGGGGGAGCCAAUCCCAGAAACCCGAUCGUAGUCCGGACUCGCAGUCUGCAACUCGACUGCGUGAAGUCGGAAUCGCUAGUAAUCGCGGAUCAGCAUGUCGCGGUGAAUACGUUCCCGGGUCUUGUACACACCGCCCGUCACACCAUGGGAGUGGGUUUUACCAGAAGUAGUUAGCCUAACCGUAAGGAGGGCGAUUACCACGGUAGGAUUCACACUGGGCGAAA
rnacentral:rRNA from 1 species